rnacentral:rRNA from 1 species
GACGAACGCUGGCGGCGUGCUUAACACAUGCAAGUCGAGCGGAAAGGCCCUUUCGGGGGUACUCGAGCGGCGAACGGGUGAGUAACACGUGAGUAAUCUGCCCUGGACUCUGGGAUAGCCACCGGAAACGGUGAUUAAUACCGGAUAUGACACCUUGCUGCAUGGUGGGGUGUGGAAAGUUUUUUCGGUCCAGGAUGUGCUCGCGGCGUAUCAGCUUGUUGGUGAGGUAAUGGCUCACCAAGGCUUUGACGGGUAGCCGGCCUGAGAGGGUGACCGGUCACACUGGGACUGAGACACGGCCCAGACUCCUACGGGAGGCAGCAGUGGGGAAUAUUGGACAAUGGGCGGAAGCCUGAUCCAGCAACGCCGCGUGAGGGAUGACGGCCUUCGGGUUGUAAACCUCUUUCGGUACCGACGAAGCGUGAGUGACGGUAGGUACAGAAGAAGGACCGGCCAACUACGUGCCAGCCGCCGCAGUAAAAC